rnacentral:misc_RNA from 1 species
CACCACUCAAGCCUGGCUUGGUAUUGGGCGCCGCGGUCCCGCCGCGCGCCCUAAUGUCUCCGGCUGAGUCGUCUGUCCUCCAGCGUUGUGGUAAUACUAUCCGCUGCCGGGACGCGAUGGCUCACCGCCGUUAAACCCUUUUUAUCUAAA